rnacentral:rRNA from 1 species
AUUGAACGCUGGCGGCAUGCUUUACACAUGCAAGUCGGACGGCAGCACAGAGAAGCUUGCUUCUUGGGUGGCGAGUGGCGAACGGGUGAGUAACAUAUCGGAACGUACCGGGCAGUGGGGGAUAACUAAUCGAAAGAUUAGCUAAUACCGCAUAUUUUCUGAGGAAGAAAGCAGGGGACCAUUUGGCCUUGCGCUGUUUGAGCGGCCGAUAUCUGAUUAGCUAGUUGGUGGGGUAAAGGCCUACCAAGGCGACGAUCAGUAGCGGGUCUGAGAGGAUGAUCCGCCACACUGGGACUGAGACACGGCCCAGACUCCUACGGGAGGCAGCAGUGGGGAAUUUUGGACAAUGGGCGCAAGCCUGAUCCAGCCAUGCCGCGUGUCUGAAGAAGGCCUUUCGGGUUGUAAAGGACUUUUGUCAGGGAAGAAAAGGGCGGGGUUAAUACCCCUGUCCUGAUGACGGUACCUGAAGAAUAAGCACCGGCUAACUAC